rnacentral:lncRNA from 1 species
AUGGGAGUGGCAAUGUUUGCACCACUUGUGUGCCCACCACGGCCCGGUGCCGACAGCUGCGUGGCUGGGAUUCAAACGUUGGAGGGGUCUGAACCCCAGAGCCAAGAUCUCUUCCCAUUACCCCAGGCAAUGGUUGGUGCAAAGUCUCAAGCAGCCCAGGUCCUCAAGCACAAAGGUUUGUCGCAGACAGAGGAAACGUGUAGCCAUGUCGGAGCUGACGGGCAACACACCAAACCCAAGGAUCUGUCUUGUCCUGUGGGCAGUGCGGAGCCAUGGCGCUUAGGUGAGACCCCACCUUCAUCCCUGAGCCCCACCCUAGGGCAGGAGGGGGACCUUGGCAUCUCCCCAGGAGCCUGGCCUUGCCACCAUCCCUGCCCUGCCGGGGACCCAGCUGUGAGCGUCAUCUGGCCUUGGAGGUGGGGCUUGGAUGGGGAAGUGAACUUACCGUCUGGUGAAGCCUGUAAUUCUGGGUUCACGGCUCCUCCAUGCUGUUUCACUGCCUGGGCAGCUUUUGCAUUCUCCCUCUUCCUGUAUAAAAUAGGGCUCAUAAGGGUCAUCUCCAAAAGUCUUUGAAUUUAGUUUGUCACAUGCCUGGCCCCAGGCCUUCAGUAAAACAAAUUGUGGGGGCUGGCGUUGUGGCACAGUGGGUUAAAGCCCUGGCCUGAAGCGCCGGCAUCCGAUAUGGGAGCUGGUUCUAGUCCCGGCUGCUCCUCUUCCAAUCCAGCUCUCUGCUAUGGCCUGGGAAAGCAGUAGAAGAUGGCCCAAGUCCUUGGGCCCCUGCAUCCACGUGGGAGACCAGGAGGAAGCUCCUGGCUUCGGCUUGGUGCAGCUCCGGCCAUUGUGGCCAAUUGGGGAGUGAACCAGCGGAUGGAAGACCUCUCUCUCUGCCUCUGCCUCUCUCUCUCUCUCUCUAACUCUGUCUUUCAAAUAAAUAAAAUAAAUCUUUAAAAACA